ensembl:lncRNA
CACCAAGAUAUCCUGGCUUAAUCCCUUAUCCUAGUUUUGUGCAACAGGCCCCUGUUCUUUGUGCGGGAUUGUUUGUGUGACAUUUGUGCAUGUUUGAGACGAACGUGUUUUUUUUUUUUCCCCUGUUCGUGGGUUUUGCUGGACUGUUUUAGUCCCCGUGUUUGGGGCAUUUGUUUUUGUGAGCGCCCAGUGUUUCGUGGGGUGGCCUAUGUUCGCCGUGUGUGCAUUAAAGAGCACUACCUUGAACUCUCUGUUUCCUGCGCCUGACUUCGCACCCACUACACCAAGAUCGUUACAGAAUGAGGAUGUUUUCAACCCUGAGUUCCGAAGCGUCUCUACUCCGUUUAUUUUGUUGCCUUUAAAAGUGUGUUUUGUAGCCUAAUAUCAAGUUUACCCAGGAUCGGAUCCACUCUUUGCGUCCGUGGGCUACACCUCUCCGUUGUUGUUCGUGGUCUUUCUCAGCAGGAGAUCUGUGGACAUUCGCAGCUGGAGAUCUGUUGGCGGAUUGGAUUGUCUGACUGACCGACUGACUACUAUCUUUUUUGUAUACGGUAUUUCAUUUGUUUUGGUGUGACGUAUACCGUGAUUUAUGUAGUUGUAGUUGAGGACUUAUUAAGGGUUCAUACGCUUGAUGGUUGUGUGGUAAAAUAAUAGUUAUUUUUGAUUUUAUGAUUUGAUACUGGGUUUACGCUAAACUUGUAGCAUAAACCGUAACUAGGGUCACUUGAGUUCCCUGAACUUUUUCACUGGCCUGGACUCUUUUUAGGCCCGAGAAACAGGACAUUUCUGGAGGAACCAGAGCUCAUUAUUUGCUAUAUUGUUGUGUGUGUGAUCAUUUAUGUUGGUAAUACAACCCAUGUAAAAGAAUAGUUGUUUUUGAAGUUCUUUCCAAUGUUUUAAGGGUUUAUGAAAAGAGUAUUUCCAUCCUGACUUUUACAUAAGUCCUUUGUAUUGGUGUAGACUUGACGGACCAGAUGGGACUCAUUCCCUCCCAAACCAAAAGGAGAAACCAAUGUUUUCUCUGGUAGGCACAACCUACAUGGCACCCCUAUAAAUAAUAACUUUAAGUCAAAACCGUUAGACUACAACCACAGAUAUUGUAGAACAAGGAGCAUAAACCUAUUUGGUUCAACUUCAGCUGUCCCAGAACUGGCACGGCAUUCUAUUCAUAUGAUCUAUUCUAAGGAUUUGUCUGUCUUAACCACACACUGACAUGUACAGCUCUCUGGGUGAGGUUCCAGUUUUCUAACCACAUACUGACAUGUACAGCUCUCUGGGUGAGGUUCUGGUUGUCUAACCAAUGCCACUUGUUUCGUCUUUCAUCUGCUCUAGUCAGAACAGAUACUGGACCUAUAAACAUUUUUUUCUGAUGGUACAUGUAGUCAUCAUCCCCUUGUGUGUUGUCUCAUACAAGACAGUUCCCUGACAUAUUUGAAGAAUACACAGGGUCUCUCCCGUACCAUUCAAUAAUAACUAAAGACGAUGAAAAGUUAUAGAUGUGUCUCGUUUAAUUUUAAUACCGAGUGUAAGGUCUCUUCCAGUUCAGACAUCUGUAUCAACUUGUCUUUUAAUCAGGGGAUUCCAUGACAAACCAUCUCUCCUGUCCUACAUCUGUAGAAACACAAGGUGGUGUUGAUACACACAGCACUGCUAACAUUAUCAAUGGUUGUUAGGUCAAAUCCAGGACAGACAAAUGAUAGUAUUUUGACCU